rnacentral:misc_RNA from 1 species
AAUGCACAUUGCACUCUCUGGUAUUCCGGAGAGUAUGCUUGUUUGAGUAUCUGUAAACAUCUCAAACCUCUCAGCACUUGCGUUCGAGAGGAUUGGAUUUGAGCAAUCCUGACUCCUUCGUCAGAAAGAGGAGGGUUGCUUGAAAUGCAGAUGCAGCAGGACAUUCUUCUGAGCUAAAAGCAUAUUUAUUUAGUCCCGUCAAACGGAUUAUUACUUUUGCUUCAGCUAACAUAAACGUCAAAUGAACCACUAUCGCUGAUUGCAGGAAAACAAUGUCCCUUAACAGGACUUUGUAAACUCGAUCUCAAAUCAAGUAAGACUACCCGCUGAACUUAA